rnacentral:rRNA from 1 species
AUAACCGCUGAAAGCAUCUAAGCGGGAAGCCUGCUUCGAGAUGAGUAUUCCCACCUCCUUGAGAGGGUAAGGCUCCCAGUAGACGACUGGGUUGAUAGGCCGGAUAUGGAAGCCCUGUAAGGGGUGGAGUUGACCGGUACUAAUAGGCCGAGGGCUUGUCCUCAGUUG